rnacentral:rRNA from 1 species
UACGAAGGGGACUAGCGUUGUUCGGAAUCACUGGGCGUAAAGCGCACGUAGGCGGAUGUGUCAGUCAGGGGUGAAAUCCCGGGGCUCAACCUCGGAACUGCCUUUGAUACAGCAAGUCUUGAGUUCGAGAGAGGUGGGUGGAAUUCCUAGUGUAGAGGUGAAAUUCGUAGAUAUUAGGAAGAACACCGGUGGCGAAGGCAGGUCUCUGGGCCGAUACUGACGCUGAGGAGCGAAAGCGUGGGGAGCGAACAGG